GGCCUGAUGGUCUAGUAGCAUGAUUCUCCCUUCGGGUAAUUCCGGGGUAGUCGCCCCAUGACUGGGAGAGGUCCCGGGUUCAAUUCCCGGUCAGGCCC